rnacentral:snRNA from 13 species
AUACUUACCUUUUCUCUCACGCCCCAGCUCAAGCAACGGGGUUUGAAGGGGAGGAGGCCUGCAUUGCACAGCGCGGUGCCGACUCUCCUCUAUUAUCCUUCGGGGUUAUAGGAGGAGCAAUUUUUGUUAUGAACUUGCAUUUUCGUUGUG